GACGGGCGUCCCGCUCAGCCAAUCCGGGAGGGGCUCCUGCUCACCUGGGUGCCGCUCCGCUCCGGUCUUGCUCAGUCGGUUGCGCAGCGGAGGAGGCAAUGGCGGUGGCGGCGAUGGGCUGGCUUUGGUGGGGCUGCUUCUUCGCCGGGCUGUGCUCCUUGAUAUCAGGCCAGUCGACCCAGGAGACGCUUGUUCAAGUUCCCGAGAACAGCGAAGCACGACUGCCUUGCAAGGCAUACCAGGGCUCCGCAAGGCGUGUGGAGUGGAAAUUCCAGGGGGAUGGCUCCACAACACUGUUCUAUUUUGACGGUCACUUCACAGACCCUUACAAGGACCGUGUCCUGUACUAUCCCAAUGAACUCUUUUUCAAAUCGGUGACUCGGAAAGACAACGGCCUGUACAUCUGCGAGGUGGUCGUCACUCCGGAGGACUAUCGGCAUUCCUCUGUGCGGCUCGUUGUUCAAGUCCCGCCCUCGAAGCCCAAGGCCCAAGUGCCCUCUGUGGUCACCAUUGGCAGCAAAGCGGUUCUCACCUGCGUGGAGACAGACGGCUCCCCGCCUCCCACCUUCACCUGGUUCAAAGACAACAUCCCGAUGCCCGAAGACCCCAAAACCAACUCCCUGUUCAGGAAUUCAUCCUACACGAUGGAUCCCAAGACUGGGCUUCUGGCUUUUGAGCCCGCGAUGGCCUAUGACGCUGGGGACUACUACUGCCAGGCGGACAACAAAGUCGGGGUCCCCCAGAAGUCUGACACAGUGCGCAUGGAGACCAGUGAAGUCAACGUGGGCGGCAUCGUUGCUGCUGUGGUGGUGCUUCUCAUCGUCCUAGGCCUGGUGAUCUUUGGGGUCUGGUUCGCCUACACCCGGGGCUUCUUCAGCAAAAGAAGAGAGUGAGUAGAAGCUUGACCAGUUGGCAGUGGCGUCUCCUCCACCAGAACCCUUCUUCCCAGCCCACAUUGCCUGCCUCUCUCAUCCCCUCCCCAUAUAUUCCUCCUGCCCCGAAAACUCUUGGCUGAGGCUUGGGGGCCACUGGGCUCCCCUUGGCCUCAUUCCUAGCCACCGAAGAGGGUGGUGGGAGUGGUGCUUGCGGAAGGAGCCACGGUGCGCCAGCCUCCCAGUGGGAGCCUCUGGGUGUCAGGUGCCCAGAGUUAUUUAUUAACGAACUUGUAUACAUUGCUUAUAUGCCAAAAGGGGUUGCAUCUGGUGUUAGCCCUACUCAGAGUAGACCCACUGAAAUUAACCGGCAUGGCUAAGGUGCGUCUGCUCUAAAUAGGGCCACAUUCAUGCCAUGCAUUUAAAGCGCUGUGGUGCCACUUUAAAACAGUUAUGGCUUCUUCACCCAAAGAAUCCUGGGAACUGUAGUUUGUUAAGUGUGCUGGGAGGUGAUAGGACACCCGUAUUCCCCUCACAGAGCUACAGUUACCAGAGUGGUUUAGCACUCAAUCUCGCUUCACAGGGAACUCUGUUGACUUGUGUUAAGCGCCAACAGAGUGAUGCAGCAGCAAAAAAAGCUAAUGCGAUUCUAGGCUGCAUCAACAGAAGUAGAAUGUCCACCUCAAGAAAAGCCAAAGUGCCACUUUGUUCUGCCUUGUUUAGACCCCCACCUGGAUUCUUAUGUCCAGUUUGGGGCACCACAGUUUAAGAAGGGUGUUGACAAGCUGGAAGAUGUGCAGAGGAAGGUGACCAGGAUGGUCAGAGGCCUGGAGACCAAGCCUUAUGAGGAAUGGUUGAGGGAGUUUGGGAUGUUUAGCCUGGGUGAGAGAAGACUUAAGAAGUGAUAGGAUAGCCAUCUUCAAAUAUUUGAAGGGCUGUCACAUGGAAGAUGGAGCAAGGUUGUUUUCUGCUGAUUCAGAGGUUGGGACCCAAAUUGAUGGAUUAAAAUGACAAGGAGAUUCCAACUAAACAUUAGGAAGAACUUUCCGAUGGUAAGGCCUUUUGACAAUGGAACAGACUACCUGAGAAGGUGGACUCUCCACUACAGGUUUUUAAGCAGAGGUUGUCAGGGGUUUUUGAGCUGUGGUUCCUGCAUUGCAGAGGGCAGGACUAGAUGACCCUUGGUGGCCCCUUCCAACUCUGCAAUCUGUGAAUUGUAUGGUGUUGACUAUGGCCUGGGAUUUAGCUGAAUGGCACCCUCAGCAUUCCGCCUUCUGCCUCCGCUUCUGGGAUAUCUUCCUCUAUUGCCAGGUCCCUGCCUCUAAUCUCUCAUUUCUCCACCUGUUUUAGCACCACCAGCAAUAAGAAGGUCAUUUACAGCCAACCUUCUACCCGAAGUGAUGGUGAAUUUAAACAGACGUCUUCCUUCUUGGUCUGAUCUCCACUCUCAUGUUGCCUUCCACCAUGUAUUAAAGUCUAACCUCUCCCUCCUCUUGAGGUUGUUGUAAAUGUUCCUUAUGAAUCUUUGUAAUUAAGUGUGAUUUUUUAAAAAAAGCUGUUUUUAAGAAAAGAUGAAGUGUGCUGUUAUGAAUUUUGUUUUCAAUGCUUUAAACCCUUGGUCACUACUCAGCUGAAGAGCUGGUCAUUAGGGGCCUGACCAUUGAGUGCAAUCCUAACCGUGCCUACUCCGAGGGUCAUACGCAAUGAAGUUUUUACACUGAAAUUAAGAGACCCAAUUUCAGUAGCAAAUGCAAACAGCCACCGCAGUGUCUCUCGUUUGGGUGGAAUUAACAGUGAAGGGACUAUUGCUGUCUUGUAAAACUUCAUUGAAUACCACCGACCCAGUCCUAUUGAAUUCAGUGAGGUUAGGAUUGCAGCCUGAAAAACUUGUUUAGGGGCUCCUAGGCUUACCUUUUGACCUUUGCAAGCUGCCGAGGUUUGACCUGUAGGACAUUGCCUUUUGGGAUGUCAGUGGCAUCCCAGAAUCUGAGAUGGUUUAAGGCAGAAUUGUACCUGUGAAAUCCCUUCCUGACCUUGAGCCCCUUCUACCUCAGAUUGGCUUCCAAAAAGGAGAGAAUUGGUUUUGAGAGCAGAAUUAAUAAUCGUGUCUGGAUGCUUCCUGGAAGAGUCAACGAGGGGCCAGAGGAUAUCGAUAAAUCUACCGCCACACAGUGCGAAAUUGUAUUGCCUUGUAGCUGCGAUCCAGAACAGAAUUAGAAUACCCAGUCCUAACCACAUCUACCUGGAAAUCAGUCUUGUUGCAUUAAGUCAGGGUUACUCCCAGGUACAGGAUUGCAGCUGUGGCCCAUUAAUCUGAGAGUUCCUGCAUGUGUAGCUGUGGGGUGGAUUGGGGCCGGUGUUAGUGGUGGCUUUUAUGCUGUGUUAGAGAGUUGGCCUUCAAACUUGAGAGUUCUAUCGUAUGUGCCUUUUAUAAAUACCGCUACGACGUUCUUGUGUCAUUUUGUAUGCUGGGAACAGAAUUGAAAAUAAACAUUGCCCUUCCGUUUGAA